UUUAAAAUCUUAGGCUUAUAAUCGACACAAUAACCCCAAACGUGCUCUCAUCUGCAUCCUUACUUUUUUCUCGAUUUCAAAUCCUAACAAAUUAACGAAGACUAAGACGAAUACAAAGAUGGAUAACUCAAUCCGGUCAAUCCUUAGGUUCGAUCCGUCGAUCAGAGAUUUUGAUUAAAGCUUCGUGAGGAAGGAUUAGUAAAAAACCAUAAGCUUUGAGCCAAACGUGGAUUCAUUAUUGAAGCUGACUUUGAUGAAUUAGAGCCGCAAAAUCGACGAUCUUCACUUGUCUCUCAAUCGAUUCUCGGCCUUUCAUGAUCGUGAUUCAUACUCUACACUGAAAGAUUCGAUGGCUUGUGUACUUCAAACCAUUUUUCCGGUCUUACUUGGUUCACAGAUCUAUAUCUCUCAAACAACUCAAACAGCUAGCAAAACACAUUUUCCUUAUGAAGCUGUUUCUCGAGAGGCUACGCAUUUUUCUUCUGCAACUUGAUUCAAUUCAGGGUAGGGUUGAUUCAAUGAUACGAGAUGGGAAAAGAUCAUUGAGCAGAGAUUUAGUGAGGUUCUUACAUCACAUUGAUGGUUGUGCUGUGAAAAAGCGUGAUUUUGUUUAUAAAUAUGUGAAAGUUGUGAGCUUUAAGGGCAAAUGUAAGAUUUCUUUUUGGGGGAAGCAUGAUGUUGGCGCCGAGAAAUUGAAGAAACAUAUACUAACAGUCUAAUUUACUUCCAAUGGCGACGAUGAGGCCUGAGGUAGAAGAGUUUCUCUUCAUGACUGAUGAUUGUAAAAAAAUUCCAAUUUUCUAUUGAGAGCAGCAGAAAGGUUGCAAGUUCAAAUUGAUGACAUCAUAGCUCUUAAUGAUUAAUUGUCUGGUGAUCCAUGUGAUUGUAAAUUGGGAAUCUUAGAUUCUUAUAUUCUUAAGUGGAGAAAAGAAUCAAGACCAACUAAAGCCUUUGUUCUUUAAAAAUCUCUCUAAAGUGUUUUAGUGCUUCAAAGGGUUCUUUACAUCAAACACUAUCUUCAUUGAUUGUGGACCCUAUAAAGCUCUUCAUAAUCUUGUAAAUCACUAUAAUCUCUAUAGUAUUGUUGUUUAUCGAUGAGUCUGUAAAUCUUGUUCCUAACUUUAAUCAAUGUUGAUGUGCAUUCAGGACAA